AUUGAACGCUGGCGGCAGGCCUAACACAUGCAAGUCGAGCGGUAGCACAGGGAGCUUGCUCCUGGGUGACGAGCGGCGGACGGGUGAGUAAUGUCUGGGAAACUGCCUGAUGGAGGGGGAUAACUACUGGAAACGGUAGCUAAUACCGCAUAACGUCGCAAGACCAAAGAGGGGGACCUUCGGGCCUCUUGCCAUCAGAUGUGCCCAGAUGGGAUUAGCUAGUAGGUGGGGUAACGGCUCACCUAGGCGACGAGCCCUAGCGGGUCUGAGAGGAUGACCAGCCACACGGGAACUGGGACACGGUCCAGACUCCUACGGGAGGCAGCAGUGGGGAAUAUUGCACAAUGGGCGCAAGCCUGAUGCAGCCAUGCCGCGUGUAUGAAGAAGGCCUUCGGGUUGUAAAGUACUUUCAGCGGGGAGGAAGGCGAUAAGGUUAAUAACCUUGUCGAUUGACGUUACCCGCAGAAGAAGCACCGGCUAACUCCGUGCCAGCCGCCGCAGUAAUAC
rnacentral:rRNA from 1 species